rnacentral:rRNA from 1 species
CCUACGGGUGGCUGCAGUGAGGAAUAUUGGUCAAUGGACGAGAGUCUGAACCAGCCAAGUAGCGUGAAGGAUGACUGCCCUAUGGGUUGUAAACUGCUUUUAUAGGGGAAUAAAACGUGCCACGUGUGGGAUUUUGUAUGUACCAUAUGAAUAAGGAUCGGCUAACUCCGUGCCAGCAGCCGCGGUAAUACGGAGGAUCCGAGCGUUAUCCGGAUUGAUUGGGGUUAAAGGGAGCGUAGGGGGUUUGUUAAGUCAGUUGUGAAAGUUUGCGGCUCAACCGUAAAAUUGCAGUUGAAACUGGCAGUCUUGAUUACAGUAGAGCUUGGCGGCAUUCGUGGUGUAGCGG